UACUUUGUGGUCGAGUGGUAAGGACACUUGCCUCUCAACCCGGAAUCCCGGGUUCGAUCCCCGGUCGAGUAA